GACGAACGCUGGCGGCGUGCUUAACACAUGCAAGUCGAACGGAAAGGCCCUGCUUUUGUGGGGUGCUCGAGUGGCGAACGGGUGAGUAACACGUGAGUAACCUGCCCUUGACUUUGGGAUAACUUCAGGAAACUGGGGCUAAUACCGGAUAGGAGCUCCUGCUGCAUGGUGGGGGUUGGAAAGUUUCGGCGGUUGGGGAUGGACUCGCGGCUUAUCAGCUGGUUGGUGGGGUAGUGGCUGACCAAGGCUUUGACGGGUAGCCGGCCUGAGAGGGUGACCGGCCACAUUGGGACUGAGGUACGGCCCAGACUCCUACGGGAGGCAGCAGUGGGGAAUAUUGCACAAUGGGCGGAAGCCUGAUGCAGCAACGCCGCGUGCGGGAUGACGGCCUUCGGGUUGUAAACCGCUUUCGCCUGUGACGAAGCGUGAGUGACGGUAAUGGGUAAAGAAGCACCGGCUAACUACGUG
rnacentral:rRNA from 1 species